rnacentral:lncRNA from 1 species
GUUUGAGAAGUAUUUUGAGAGCAUCAUUGUAUGCCACAUGCAACUUUUUCAUUUAGGGGAGAGUGGGGUAAGUUGAGCCAAAGGGUAAGUUGAGCCACCCACUGUUCCUUGGAAAUGGUAAAAGAAAAGAAAGAAAGAUCCACUAGUAAGAGACAAAACUAUGAUUGCCUUGAUGUAGUGAUCCAAAAUAGGAAAAAUGGCUCAUCUUACCCCACUCUCCCCUAAGCUCUGAGGAGCUCUAUUACAGGGCUCUCAAGUUUUGAACUAAGCUAAGAGUGAGAUUUCCUUGGGGUAUGAGGGCCACAUUAAGAAAAAAAACGUUUUUAAAUCUUCGAGAAUAAAGUUAUUAUUGAGGAGAAUAAAGUCAUUAAUAUAUAAGAAUAAAGUCGUAAAGUUACCUGUUGUGCAGGAGAGUUGUUAAAAUCAGCACUGUGAAGCAUUUAGAUGAAUUGUACUUUAGUAUAGGUUUCACAAACAUGGAAAUACUUAAUCCUUUGGUACAUGAGCAUUACACUGUCAUCAUGACAGUCCACACUGUGUGGACAUGAACCCCCUAAUAACUUUUAAAAAUAGAGCUGUACAGAAAAAAGAGGACUUGAGCACAAAACAGUCUUACAGUAACUACAUGUCAACAUCGCAAGCAGGGGGAAAAAAAUCUGUUCUGUGUGAUUAAUUUCUAAAAUUUGUCCUCAGCCUCUUAAGGAUGGCUGACAGGGAUUUAUGACCUAUACUGCAGCCCGUCACCAGAGGGUGCUGUUCUCAGAGUGGCUUCACCCAGCGAGAAGACAGACACUUUCCGUUUUGAUUUCCACUCCCCGUCGGGGAAUCGAACCCCGGUCUCCCGCCUAACAGGCGGGGAUACUCACCACUAUACUAACGAGGAGAAUGUGUUCUGACAUGAUAUGAUAUAAUAUGGAACAAUAUGAUACGAUAUGAUACUAUAUGACAUGAUAUGAUACGAUACGAUAUGAUAUGGUACAAUACCAUACUAUACGAUAUGAUGCAAUACGAUACAAUACUAUAUGAUAUGAUACUUUACAAUAUGAUAUGAUAUUAUACUACACAAUAGGAUACAAUACGAUACAAAUAUGGUAUUGCGACAGUGUUUAGCUAACCAUAUGUAAUUGACAUCCUGAAAAGCCUUAUUAAUGGCCUUUUAAGUUUCACCCUCUGGUUCUCCCAUCCCUCUUUCUGCCGUUAGUCCUCCAUCUGUAGGUAUGUCAGAUAAGUCAGACAUGUAUCUCUCUGUUUGUCUGAUUCUUUCACUCUGUAAUAAGACCAGAAUAUCUGUGUUUUAUACUCUUCUCAGCUGAAAGAAGUCCAAAGAUGUCUUCACAGUCAUCUGUAACAGAAGUCCUUUCACAAACCAGCGCUGAGUGGAGGCAGUAAGUGGCGUCUGCAAAUGGACAGGGGUGUUUUUUGACAAGGCACUUUGAGGACAUUCUCCAUUUUUGCAAUUACCUACAAAUACAGCAAGGACAAAGUCUCAUUGCACAUUGUUGUUGAUAGAUUUACUGGGUCUGACCCGCCACCAUAUAGCCAUAGAGGAGAAACAAAGGAUAGAGGAGUAGAAGUAAGCAGAUCCACAACUGAAGAUUAUAUGCAAGUGUAAAGGGGUGUUCAGACCAAACGCGACCUCGGCGACCUCGGCGACGGCUCCCAAUGCAAAGUCUAUGGACAGCCGCGACCUGACGCGACUUGGCGACCGCCGGCUGCCUGUGACGCGACCUGAAGCGACUUGGCGACCAGUGCUGCAUCCGAAUUGCCCGCUCUGAUACUACAUGCUACUGCUACAUACUACUGCUAGAUCCUACUCCUACAUAAUAAACACGUUGGCCCAAUUCGGACACACUAGACGAGCGGUGGGGAAAGACGACCCCCGCAGGCAGAGAGUAGGUACUGCGCCCGUGCAGACAGUGGUAACUGAAGCCCCUCAUCUGCGGGCCUGGCUGUAGUACUGCAGCUGUGCAGUUUAAUGAUGGAAUAAGUGAGCUUUACCUCCAUGAUGUCGCCACAUAUUUGCUCUUAAAAUGAUUACUUGGGCAAAUAUGACACCAUGACAUGACAAAGAGAUACAACCGCACAUUUUUUUAGGACAGUGUGUGAAGUUACAUGAAACUUACAUCUGUACUGCUGCGGUCCCGCCUGCUGCUGCUGCUGCCGCAACAUGGUGCGCGCUGCUGUGGCCAGCCGGCGUUCGCGACACAUUUAAAUAGGCAGAGCAGCUGGUGGCGCUAGCAUCACAUGCGCGUCUACAACUUUUAAGAGGACGAAGAAGAAGCCUGUGGUGCAUUUUGGGUCAGUACCAUGCCCGUAGGAUGCACCGAGACCAACCUACAAUGUGGGCGUGUCUAGUAUCUUAAGUAGUAUCUGAAGUAGCAUGCUACUCGCUCAGGUGGCCAAUUCGGACAUGCUAGAUACUACUUCGACUACUACUUCAACUACUACUUGGCAAUUCGGACGCAGCUCAGGUCGCCAAGUCGCGUCGCCGAGGUCGCAGGACGCCAAGUCGCGUCGCUCCCAAAGUUCAAAUAUUUGAACUUUGGGAGCGACUAUCCGCGACCCCGUGCCGCGACAGCCAAUCAGGGCUCUGCUGACGUCAACAAACCGGCGAAACAAGGAAGAGGAGAAGAAGAAUCACAAUGGAGGAGCAGUUAAUCACAUCCGUUAGCUACCACCCGGUGCUAUACAACGUGGGUUGCGGGCUGGACCGGGACCGCAACGCCAAAGAAGAAGCAUGGGGGAAGGUGGCCCGUGAUGUCGGGCUUUCUGGUAAGCUUGUUUGUUUAUUUAUUUAUUUCAGUGAGCGGACUGUUUUAUGAAAACAUAGCUAACUGCCCCUGCUUGCCAGGCUACAUGUUUCAACGUAUGUGUGGGUGUCUUUGCAGUGGAUGUGUGCCGCAAGCGGUGGAAGGGGCUUAGGGACGUUUAUAUGAGGGACAGACAGAUAGACAGGCGUUCCGAAGCUGAGAUGGAGCGCCUGUAUUUCGUGUCCAGGCAGGGGGUUUUGCUUCCCACCCGGGCGAGGAGGUCCACGAACUGCGCCGUCGACACACGGAAAUACCGCUGGAAGCGGCCGUCGUCGAGGCGGAGUUCCUGGAGCAAGCGGUGAAAUUCACCCAGCUCUGUCCUCCCCCAGAUGGUUUCAUGCACCCAUAAACACCGGCGGCGUCUACUGCGGAUGUACAGAUAUGGGGCAGCACAGAUGAACUGAAAACUGAGCUAGUGACGUUCUCAUGGAUGACGUCACCGGCGACCAGCCGCGACCUGCGACUGCAGCUUUGGACCUGCUGUGAACACACCAGGGCACCACGCGACGCGACGCGAGCGACCAACGCGACGCGUUUGGUCUGAACACCCCUUAAAGGUUUUACUAAACUGUUGACACUUUUUCACAUCUAACACAACCUUUUUUUCUCAUAACAGAUGGAACAGAGAGAACGGGAGGGCUGGUUUGCCUUAUCCACUCAUGUGAGAUGACACUGAUAACGAUAUUUUAAACCUUUCCCUUUUGUAGAUUACCAGUGCCAUUUAUAUUUAUGAAAUAAAUGUGGUUUUUUUAUUUUCAU